ACUUUGUAUCCGAUUAUUGGUGUUACAAGUCCGCAUCUUCGGAUAAGUAAUGAAAAGGGAAUCAGGUGUAAGUCCUGAACAGACCCGCUGCUGUAAACUCUUUUGAAUAGUUUCGAGCGAUACCCAAUGCCACUAUUUUGAUAAGCUAUAAGUUAGCUGAAAAAUGGGAAGGCUGCAAGAAACAAGAGUGAGUCAGAAGACCUGCCAAUGAUCGUAUGAUUUUG
rnacentral:ncRNA from 1 species